GGGGUUGUGGCUCAGUGGUAGAGCACUUGCCUCUCACGCAUGAAGCACUGAGUUCAAUCCUU
rnacentral:tRNA from 1 species